rnacentral:rRNA from 1 species
GACGAACGCUGGCGGCGUGCUUAACACAUGCAAGUCGAACGGAAAGGCCCUGCUUUUGUGGGGUGCUCGAGUGGCGAACGGGUGAGUAACACGUGAGUAACCUGCCCUUGACUUUGGGAUAACUUCAGGAAACUGGGGCUAAUACCGGAUAGGAGCUCCUGCUGCAUGGUGGUGGAUGGAAAGUUUCGGCGGUUGGGGAUGGACUCGCGGCUUAGCAGCUUGUUGGUGGGGUAGUGGCUGACCAAGGCUUUGACGGGUAGCCGGCCUGAGAGGGUGACCGGCCACAUUGGGACUGAGAUACGGCCCAGACUCCUACGGGAGGCAGCAGUGGGGAAUAUUGCACAAUGGGCGGGAGCCUGAUGCAGCAGCGCCGCGUGCGGGAUGACGGCCUUCGGGUUGUAAACCGCUUUCGCCUGUGACGAGGCGUGAGUGACGGUACUGGGUAAAGAAGCACCGGCUAACUACGUG